UAUUUUGAGCGCGCCCGUUAUACAAAUCCGCCGUACCUCCUCUACAGCUAUGCUGCUGCAGUACGUACAAUAUACACCGCCAAUAAUCACGUUAUUACUAUUAUAACAUUAAUAUAUUUAAUAUCGAUAGGUACGAUACGACGGGAGUAGUAUAUUAUGUAUUAUUGAUAAAACCCAUAGGUCUCGUGUGCGAGAGCGAUUUCAGUGAACAAUAGUAGAGCACACUAUGUCAGGAUGAGGGGGAGAUUCGGGAUGGUACCGGUCGGCAAUCGUAUCAGUUCGUUUGCGUGUAGGUGUACGAAUUUACAAUAUAAUAUUGUUAUGAUUGCUGUUUGUAAAAUGUUUCUCCUCGAACGGGCAAUGGGUAUGCAUCCAAAUGUACAAGAAUGCCGCGCCGUUUGCUACAUCACUUCAUCGGUAUCUAAAUAAAAACGUAUUUUCAUCUCAUCGUGGAAAAUUAGAAAAUAGUUAUUUGAUUAUUAUAUGUAAAUACCUCAUUUAUUGUAAUAAAUUACAACAUUAUACGGCGUAAUAGAAAUAUAGAA